CUACUGGGUGGCUUGUAGCAACAAACAGCUUUUUCUUGAUGUGAAUCAGCUUCCUUUUUGUUUUGCACAGAAACCAUAGCUCAGGCAGAGAGAAGAGGAUGCAGUCGGUCAAUGCAAUGCUGAGGUCGUAAAGACAAUCCUUCAUUCCUGUCGACGGCGUGAGGCUUUUAGUUUCCAGAAGCUCUCUCGAAUUUGUAGAAAAUAAGAAUGGAGGGGGAUGUCAUGAGGUGGAGGGUGUUCCUCCUCUGCUUCUUCCAAUUCAUCCAUGAAUUUGUUCUUCAAAAACUGAAGAAUAUCUGCUGACAUUUUGGCUGUAAAAA